rnacentral:misc_RNA from 1 species
AGAACCCGGCCGGCUACACGCUGUCACGCGACAAGCGCGAGGCGUUGCUCCAGCUCGCCGGCGCCCACGACUUCACCGUCUUCGAGGACGAUCCCUACAUCGCCCUGCGCUUCCGCGGCGACGCGCUGCCCACCAUGCUCUCGAUGGACCACACGGGUGAGCGGGUGAUCUACGCGUCGUCGUUCUCCAAGACGGUGUGCCCGGGCAUUCGCGUCGGCUACCUCGUCGGACCGACCGAGAUCAUCCAGCAGGUUCAGCUGCUGGCCACCAACACCUACAUCUCCCCCAACAUGGUCGCC